rnacentral:lncRNA from 1 species
UCCUCCUCACAUACGAUACGAUACUGGGGGACAGCAACCAGCGGCGGGAGCAGCCGCGACAGCUGCUGGCGGCGGAGGCGCAGCAGCGGUUGCAGAAGCAGAAGCAGCCUCUUUUUUCUAUUUCUCACUCUUCUACGUGUAUAAGCUCGCAACGGAACUGCUUUACACAAUUCUGACGGUCCUUUUCCUCGCAGAUCUGGUCUCCCC